AAACCGGAAUCAAAAAAAGAAAAGGCGGCUGUAUCUACUGUUUCCAAGUUCCAACAGGAACCUGGCUAUUUAAGUGAUGCUGAACUGUUGGCUGCUGCUGAAAAAGUCCUUGAGGAGUCUGAGGUGCCGGUCUCCACACAGCUUACCACCUGGGGAGAGCUCGCUCCAGUUGUGACUCAGGACUCUGCUAACAGGCCCAGUGCAUCUCAGGGAAGACCCACAGCCGAGAGAUCUUUAACUCUCUCUCCAGAGAGUUGAGGAAGAGCAGACUCGUGACGAAGAGGAGUCGGCAGAGCAAAGCGAGGAGGAGAUGGCAGAUUGGGUACAUUUCAGCGUUUCUUUCAUUCGAGAUAAUCACUGAGAUAUACCAGUGCAGCACAGCAGAAGUGAAACUGCUGUUACACACAUCAGUCUGACUGCUGCAGGGUCUGCUCUGUGAGGAACUACUCUGAUAAAGUACCUCACAAUCUUUCUUAGGUACAGUGGGCUACCCUUAAUAUUAGCACAGAGAGAAAUAACUUAAUAAAAGUAAAGUAAAUAAUAAUAAGUAAAUAAUAAAAUUAGAUCGUGAAUUCUCAUAUAGCUGGUGUGUCCUUCCUCGUUAGUAUAGUGGACAGUAUCUCCGCCUGUCACGCGGAAGACCGGGGU